rnacentral:tRNA from 1 species
AGGAUAAUAGUUUAUAAACCAAAAACAUUUAACUUGCACUUAAAAAAACUAAAAUUUUUAGUUAUCUUA